rnacentral:rRNA from 1 species
GCUGACGCUGGGCGUGCGAGGUCGGUAAUAGGGAGGGUGGUAGGUGUUUCCGGAGUUGCGGGGCGGAAAGAGGGCGCAGGCGGUCGUUAAAGGCGAGUGUGAAAGCCCCCGGCUCAACUGGGGAGGGGCACUCGAUACUGAUCGACUCGAAGGCAGGAGAGGGAAGUGGAAUUCCCGGUGUAGUGGUGAAAUGCGUAGAUAUCGGGAGGAACACCAGUGGCGAAGGCGACUUCCUGGCCUGUUCUUGACGCUGAGGCGCGAAAGCUAGGGGAGCAAACGGGAUUAGAUACCCCAGUAGUC